ensembl:lncRNA
GUGAGUGUCCAUCGGCCCCGUCUUUAUACCUGUUAAGGGUAAAACUUCCAAAAGCAUCACCAAACAGUUGUAGAGAUCAAAGAAGGAGGAAAAAUGGCCUCUCUUCAAUUUUAGCCCCUUCCUCCGUACAGAACAGCUUCAAGUUCAGGACUUUGACUUGGCCAUUACAAAACAUAAACUCUUAUUCUUCUUCUUUUACCAACCUUUGGGAGAUUGAUUUGUGUUUUUGGGGGUUGUGGUCUUGCUGCAUGACCCACGUGUCUUGAGAUUCACUUCAGACAGACAUCCUCACAUUUUCUUUUGGAAUUUGCUGGGAUAAUUCAUAAUGCAUUGAGCUGUCCAGGCCCAGCUGCAAAACAGACCCCAACCAUGAUCCUCCCAUCCCCUCGUGUCACAGAUGGUAUAAGGUUCUUAUGCUUGUUUCACAGAUGGAAUAAGGUUCUUAUGCUGGAAUGCAGUGUUGCCUUUCUCUGAACAUAAAAGACAUAAAUAAAAUAGGAUGCCCACUUAAACCUGAUUGACAUCCUAUUGAUUGAAAACACCUAUAAUUUGACCUCCAAAUGAACUGCUUAUC